UACGAAGGGGGCUAGCGUUGCUCGGAAUCACUGGGCGUAAAGCGCACGUAGGCGGACUUUUAAGUCAGGGGUGAAAUCCUGGAGCUCAACUCCAGAACUGCCUUUGAUACUGAGGAUCUUGAGUUCGGGAGAGGUGAGUGGAACUGCGAGUGUAGAGGUGAAAUUCGUAGAUAUUCGCAAGAACACCAGUGGCGAAGGCGGCUCACUGGCCCGAUACUGACGCUGAGGCACGAAAGCGUGGGGAGCAAACAGG
rnacentral:rRNA from 1 species